rnacentral:rRNA from 1 species
CGGGUGAGUAACACGUGAGUGACCUGCCUUUUAGACUGGAACAACUUACCGAAAGGUGAGCUAAUGCCGGAUGAGUUAUAUAAGUGCAUGUUUAUAUAGGAAAAGUUGGGGAGACCUGACGCUGAAAGAUGGACUCGCGUCCCAUUAGCUAGUUGGUAGGGUAAUGGCCUACCAAGGCGACGAUGGGUAGCCGGCCUGAGAGGGUGGCCGGCCACACUGGGGCUGAGACACGGCCCAGACUCCUACGGAAGGCAGCAG